GCCGGAGUAGCUCAGCGGAAGAGCGGGAGGCUUCACCUCCAGGUCGCUGGUUCGAUCCCAGCCUCCGGCA
rfam:Phytophthora ramorum strain Pr102 Scaffold14 genomic scaffold, whole genome shotgun sequence.